ACAGCUUGAACAACUUUUAUUUUUUUUUAAAGUGCUUAAAACGUAAAUAACAAGCUCUUUAUAAACAUUAGUUGCAACUCUUAAAACAUGAGACACACAGAACCCACUUCCUGCGGACGUGAAGAACAGGGAAACCAACAACUCCAAAAACCCUGACACUUCUCCCACCUGGGGAUGUUCUUCCAGGUUUUUAACCCCAAACACGGCUGAGUCUAAGUCACACUGCAGAAUCCACAUCCCUUCAGGUUUGUUCCAGUUUGAGGAUAAACCCUGGUGGUUCUUCUGACCCACACAUGGCCAGGAGGACCAGGCAAGGGGAAAAGAAAUCAUUGGCCAAAGUUCUUGACAAGCAAAAAACCCACCUGUGGGCUGACAGCAAGGGCAGAGCACAGCACCCUGCUGCAGCCCUGAGUGUGGAAAAACAAACUCCAGGAGAAAGGCAAAACCACAGGGAAUUGUUAUGGCUGUGUUGAAAACAGAACAGGGAGAAGCUGCUGCUGGCCCAGAAAAUCUUUGGGGUGUGCUGGGCUCAGCAGAGAGGGACAGAGCUCAAGCACAGCCAGGACACGGAGCAGGAGCGCUGCUCCUGCCCCUGGGAUCCCAAAUAAAUCACUAAACAGGAGAUUCAGUCACUAAACACAGAGAUAAAUCCCAGAAGGGCAACUUGAGAACAUUUCCCCAGUUCUCCUCCUCAUCCCCUCCCUCUCUGAGGAAGCAUUCAGGUCCUCAAAACCAUUCCCCAAAGCAUGUGGAGGUUGAACAGCAACACUGCAGACUCCACUCCAGGGCUGCUGUGCUGCUCUGGUGCACAGAACAGAAACUGUGUGCUGAGGGGGAAACCCCAGGGUGGGGAAACAGAGAACAGGAACAUCUGUAAGACACAAGGAGGGACCUCUGGGCCGCUGAACACUCAGGGACAGACAGGGAACAUCCUUCACCGCUCAACCUCUGCAGCCCCACCCAGCUCCAGCAGCAAGGAGCUGUGCACACCUUGGCUCUGGAGAUGGGAGGGGCAGAGAGUGCUGCAAACAGGAGGUGGAAGGAGCAGGGGCUGCUGGAAAGGCAGGAGAUGAGGGAAUAGAACAGGAAUUGCUGUGCUGGAAAGGCAGAUGAGAGAAUAGAACAGGAAUUGCUGGAAAGGCAGAUGAGGGAAUAGAACAGGAAUUGCUGGAAAGGCAGGAGAUGAGGGAACAGGUAUUGCUGGAAAGGCAGAUGAGGGAAUAGAACAGGCAUGGCUGGAAACAGGAGAUGUGGAAGCACUUGUUGAUGGAAAGGCAGGAAAAGAGAGAAUAAAACAAGAAUUGCUGGAAAGGCAUGAGAUAGGGGAACAAGUAUUCCUGGAAAGGCAGGAGAUGAGGGGACAGGAAUUGCUGGAAAGACAGGAGAAGUGGGAACAGGUAUUCCUGGAAAGGCAGGAGAUGAGGGAACAGGAAAUCCUGGAAAGACAGGAGAAGUGGGAACAGGUAUUGCUGGAAAGGCAGGAGAUGAGGCAACAGGAAAUCCUGGAAAGACAGAAGAAGUGGGAACAGGUAUUGCUGGAAAGGCAGGAGAUGAAGAAACAGG